AGAUUGAACGCUGGCGGCAUGCCUUACACAUGCAAGUCGAACGGCAGCACGGGGCAACCUGGUGGCGAGUGGCGAACGGGUGAGUAAUGCAUCGGAACGUGCCAUUGAGUGGGGGAUAACGUAGCGAAAGUUGCGCUAAUACCGCAUAUUCUGUGAGCAGGAAAGCAGGGGACCGCAAGGCCUUGCGCUCUUUGAGCGGCCGAUGUCAGAUUAGCUAGUUGGUGAGGUAACGGCUUACCAAGGCGACGAUCUGUAGCGGGUCUGAGAGGAUGAUCCGCCACACUGGAACUGAGACACGGUCCAGACUCCUACGGGAGGCAGCAGUGGGGAAUUUUGGACAAUGGGCGCAAGCCUGAUCCAGCCAUGCCGCGUGAGUGAAGAAGGCCUUCGGGUUGUAAAGCUCUUUCGGCCGGGAAGAAAUCGCAUGGGUUAAUACCCUGUGUGGAUGACGGUACCGGAAUAAGAAGCACCGGCUAACUACGUG
rnacentral:rRNA from 1 species